GUCGGAUACCAUACCCAAAUGACCAAUUGCUUCUCUCUUUAAAUGCAGCAACUGCUACUCUCAGUCUCAUCCCAGACUAACUCCUAUCUUUCAAACCCUGCUCUCUCUCUCUCUCUCUCUCUCUCUCUCUCUCUCUUUCUCUCUCUCACUUCUCUCUCAUGUCGUCGAGCUUCCAAGAUUCGGCCGUGCGAGGGGCUUGCUCUUCCCUGCCAAAGCCUCCAGACAUCCACGCUCGAACCUGAUCCACUACUAAUUACGGUAAUUAGCUGACCUUUCGUGUAAUUUAUUUUCAUUGGCGAUGGUUGCACCUGGAAAGCUGAGCUUCGCCGGACGAAACGCUGCCGUUUCAUGGGCUUCUGCAACUUGCUCGCGGCUUGUCUCAUUCUUUCGGAGCUUCUUCACUUCCUGCGAUGGGUCGCCUGCAGGGCUGUCGUGCUCGCCGGUGGCGGACGAAUUCCCCGUUGUAAUUGACAUCCCACCACCUGGCAAUGCCGAGUGCGCCAACCCAGUGAGCCCUCCUGAGCAAACGGCCACAACCGCCCGGCGCAGGUGCUGCAGGAUCUGUAUAGGGGGCUUCGCGCCUGACCCGGCUCACCCGAUACUCGUCCUGUUCCAGAGCCAGGAGCUGGGGAAGGCAGUGCUCGGAUUGUCCGUGCCCAUAAUCACGGGCCUCCUCUCCAACCAAUUCGGCCACCUGAGCCACCUACAUUCGAGCCUGAUCGUGCUCGGGCUCUGCAUUGGAUUCACCGCCACGUGGUCCGGCAUGAUGCUGCGAGGAGCAUGGCCAAGGGUCGGGAGCACGUCGGAGAAUAUCGGGGUGGUAUCCAUUUUCGCGGCCUUCUUCGGGCUGGUGGCGUCCUUCCUCCCGCGGAGCCUCGUGUGGGCAUCCUGGCUGUGCUGCGGCUUGUCGUGCUUGCCCUUCUUCUUCCUCUGUAUGAAGCCCCCGACGGUACAAACACCCGUGGCUUAACCUGAUUGGUGGGUUAUAAAUUAUGUUGGUGGGGUUCAUAUGUGUAAAUUUCCAACUAAAAAUAUUCGACGUCAGUCACUAUGGUCUGAAUAUAUAGCACAAAUACCGCUCUUAAGUUGGGAAGGGAGUGUGUGUAGGUCGUUGGCUCUGUAAUAGUAGGGGUGAUCGGGUUUAGGAUGGGUAGGGUCUAGACCUAGACCCUGUACCCGAUCCUAUUAUAACUGGUUCCUUUUUUUUGGAGCUUGUACCCGACCCUAUUUGUAUUGGACCUUAUACCCAACCUACUAUGUUUUUCCGAUCCGGUUCUAGGGUCAACCUCGGUUCCUGGGUGGGUAAUCAAUCGGAACCGGUUCCCAGACCGGUUUAAACUCUUCCCAAUCGGUUUAAACUAGUUCCGAAUUUUGGGAACUGGUCCCUAGACUGGUUUCAAUAGAAACCGGUUCUCGACCCUAUUUUUCGGGUGGGCUAGUUCGGUUCCCAGGUAUAUCCGGUCUAGUUACACACCACUAUGUAAUAGCGUUUGAUAUGCAAGAAUGGAAUGGAUUGAAAAUACCUAUUAUUAUAUAUCCUAAAA
rnacentral:lncRNA from 1 species